rnacentral:lncRNA from 1 species
UUUUAGUUUUAUUCUAUUUUGUAUUUUCAAGGAAUAUUUACAAGGCAAUCCUGAAAAAGCUCGCAAAGAAUUAGGUUGGGUACCGAAGAAUACUUUUCACGUAAGUUUUUUCCGAUCGAUUAAUAUAUUUCAUAAUGCUAUAAACACGAGUAACGGCAAAAAUUAAAUUUAUAUUGCCGUAUUCUUUUUGCUAAAAAGGAAGAUUUCUUUAAACUAGGACACGGCAAUAUAAAUUUAAUUUGUCUCAUCGGAAAGAAUUUUCAAACUGUAUGGAAAACCUUUUCAUAUCUUCUUAAAUUAACUGAAUAGUGAUUAUUCUCGAAGUAUUUUCACCACAAUCAUCAUAAAUUUGCCCGUCGCCAUCUUGAAAUAAUUAGUAACUUGGGACAUCUGUGAUUAUCUUUGAUAAUAAUGGAUCAGUGAAAUGAUUAUUCAUUAAAAUACUCUUAUAUUCCUGUAUACAUCCUUAGGUCAUUUCUAUUGUCAACUGGGAGGUAUAAACGCGACAAAAAGUUUUCUUUAUUAAAUUGACUAGAGAUAUUUACCUUUUGUCGAUAUGCACGUUAUGUCACAAAUCCCUUUAUGCUAGCACAUUGUAAAAUUAUUCACAUUUUCUCUCUUCAAAUCGAACAUUUGAUCAAACAUUUCUCUAAGAAAGUCCAGCAAGACUGCAUUCGACCUUUUCCCAGUCAUUUUUUUUUCGAUGAGGUCAUUUCUUUUACCUAGCUCUCUUGAAUAUUCACAUUUCGGACCGGCAUUUGUAACACCUGUAUCGCGAAUCGAAGCUUUCCGUCCGCGUGGAAGAUUGCGCGUAUUUGCGCAAUCCCAAAAGUUAAGCAAAUCACCUCUGAAAAUGACCUGCGGCCUAUAUCAAUCUUGCCAGUACUGUCGAAAGUGUAUGAACGCCUAAUCUUUCGCCAGCUUUCCAAAUUCAUCGAUGAUAACAAAUUACUGAGUAGCACCAUCUCUGCAUAUCGAAAGGGCCAAUCCACCACAACGGUCAUGCAAGCCAUACGAGAUGACAUCACGAAAGCAAUGAGUCGUGGAGAAGUCACGAUGAUGAUCUUCGCUGAUUUCUCGAAAGCUUUCGAUACGAUCCGUUUUAAAAAUCUCAUCUCGAAAAUGAGCAAACUGGGCUUCCGCAAGGAUUUUCUUACAUGAACACUAAAUUAUGUCUCACAUCGUAAACAGUACGUUCAGAUUGAUGAUAUUAGAUCGAAUACAACAAAUGUUAAUUUCGCGUACCACAAGGAUCGAUAUUGGGGCCGGUUUUAUUUAAUAUAUACGUUGCCGACCUUCAAGAAAUUAUCGACGCCAAAAGCCAUCAAUAUGCUGACGACACAACAAUCUAUGAGCAUGCCAAGGUCAAACAUAUUCAUAGAUGUAGAGAAACCAUAUCUGAUUCAAUGAAAAAACUCAACGACUGGUCAAAUAAUAGCAGCCUUGCCUUAAACCAUAAGAAGACGAAAGCAAUGCUUUUCUCAACUCAACAAAUGUCAAGAGUACACCAAUUGGAAAAUUAUGAACCUAGAAUAUUUGUCAACGAACACGAACUAGAGCGCAUAAAGUCAUGCAAGUUGCUUGGCGUUCAUUUCAACGAACACCUAAAAUGGGACAACCAUAUCCGUCACAUAACAUCUGCCUGCUACGCCACCUUGCAAAUAUUAAGGAAACUUAAACAUCUAGCUUCUUAUUAUCUUAGAAAGCAGUUAGCUGAAACGCUAAUAUUAUCCAAAUUGGAUUAUGCUGAUGGUGUUUUCUAUCCACUCCCGCAGUUUCCAGAGUGGCCAAAGUAUCUAAAGCUAGAACGACAAACUUGCGUCCGAGAACUGCGCUCAACCAAUGCAGUUAGACUAGUCGUGCCAAAAGAAACUGGAACGUUUCAACAUAGUGCUGCGAAACUUUUUAAUUCCUUACCUGAGAACAUCAGGAAUUGUACUAAUUACAAAGUAUUUUUAAAAUUAACGAAAGAACUUUUAUUCGAAAGAGCACGCCAAAACUAGUUUUUAAUCCGAACAUCGAUUUUAUCUAAUUUCAACACUUAAACGUUAUAGUCCAUAGUUAUAGAAUAUAGUAUUUAAUUAGUAUUUUAACAGGGAAGAGCCAUAUGUAUGGAUCUGUUGAAUAAAUCGUUAUUAUUAUUAUUAUUAUUAUUAUUUAUGCUACCAAAAUAUUUUUGCUCCACGCUAAAAACAGUUCUUGUUUUUUUAAUUAUAGGACAUAAUCAAAGAAAUGAUGGAUAGCGAUCUCGAAUUGAUGAAGAAGGAUCCGACAGCUUAGAAAAUUAGGGCUGUGGAACUAUAUUGUAUCGAUGAAUAAUAUAUUCUAAGAUUAGCUAUAUAUACUAUAUAGUUGCUUAGGAGAUCGUAUACAGGUCUGAUUAUUAUGUCAAACACACCUGCUGAAAUUGUGCAUUUAGGUCUUAUACCAUUUUACAUAAAAAUGGUAAAUAUUUUUGUAUCGAUGUUGGUACAACCUGUAUAGUAAUUGAAGGUUAUCUAUUACACAUUGAUAACUUAUUUCAUUCUGUCGGUUCUUUAUACCCAUAAAUUAUUGCUAUUUAGUUCUAUGAGAAGUAAGAAACUUAAUAAUCAGGCUCUUAUCGGAUAUUUUAAGCCAAGGAACAAUACCUUUAACAAAGAUUUUUCUUCAUCUUACUCUAAUUUAUAAAUCGUUGGCAAAGUAUUCGUCUUUAUAAUGAUAUUUAUGCAUAUAUGUGCGUUGAUUCUAAAUUGAUUGCGUUAAGCUGUAUAGUAUCAGAUUUAUGUGGUAAUUUAAUUAAAGGGAAAUGGUAAUAUAUAUUUUUAUUUUCUCAUUUGAAAGAACUUUUGAAACUAUUUAAUAACUUUUUUUUACCGA